GCACUAAACCAAACCAUAAAACUCAAGAUGGGGCUUCUUCACAAACAAAACCUUUCCUUUGUGAUACUUCUCCUUGGUUUCCUCGUCGUCUCUUACGCUUGUGACUGUGGUGACCCUCCAAAGCCAUCUCCACACCCCGUUAAACCGCCUAAACAUCCCGUUAAACCGCCUAAACCACCCACCGUUAAACCACCUCCACACACUCCGAGACCGCCAACCGUCAAGCCUCCGCACACUCCAUCCCCUCCACAUUCUUUUCCACCGUACACUCCAAAACCUCCCACUGUCAAGCCACCGCCACAGCCAACUCCAACCCCAUCCCCUCCACCACCGUACGUCAAGCCACCACCAGUGCCAACCCCAGAGACGCCAUGCCCGCCACCACCGCCACCGUCACCACCACCAACCCCAUGUCCUCCUACACCUCCAGCGCCAACCCCUGAAC
rnacentral:lncRNA from 1 species